AGAAAGCGCCACAUCACUAUUGAUUUCUCAACCUUCCAUCAGUUACUAUUUGUUUCUUCUGCCUUCCACCUUCCAUCUGUUAAUGAUAUUUACUUCACUCAACCUUGCACUUCUGGCAGUUACACCUUCCAUCGGUUACUGCUAUUUACUUCACUCAACCUUCCACUUCUAACAGUUACAUGCAGGCUCUUUGUCUCUUUCUUUCUCUCACGUCCUCUCUCUCCUUCUUCCUCCUCUUCUUUCUUCUUCUUCUUCUUCUUCUUCUUCUUCUUCUGCUUCCUUUUUCCUCUUCUUUCCAAUCCGUAAUGAUACCAUCAAAGUUCUUUCAAUAACAAAUCAAGAUCCUAUCUAUAACACAUUGCUAACAAGUCCUAACCGAAGCCGAUAAAAUUAUUGAACUCAGUCAUACAUAUGCAAUUUCGUAUCUUGUCACUGGUGUUUGAUUUCACUAACUGAUGUUGUUUUUCACAGGAAUUGAACAUUGGUAGCUUUUAACUGGUGUUGAGCUUCUUAAAUAUUUGUCUGGUUUUCGAAUUCAAGUUUUAUAAGAAGCUUUGAGGUUUGAAGAUGGUCGAGAUUGGAGCAAUUCUCUUCAUUCUUCUAUUUGGUGUUUUUUGUCAAAUGUUUUCAUCGGAGCAAUUUUCAGGCGGUUUUCUGGUGGUCGAUAAACGUGGAUCUCCUAUUCCCUUUUGAUUUCUUUUCUAGUACUCCUUCCUUCUUUCACUUCUGUUUCGUUUGUGUGGUGUUAUGUUGUUGUUCAUGUUAACAAUGUGUUUUCAAAAUACAGAGCUUUCCACCUUGCCUGUUAAGUGUUCGAUGUUAAGUGUUCGAUGAAAGUUCCAAACCAAUCUCUUUCUUAUUUUUCGGUUUCAUAUUUGUUGUUGUUGAUGUUUUAUUGUUGUUGUUAAUGUGACAUUUGUUAGAAAUUUUAUUUGCAGGGUGAGGAUAUUUAUGAUUUUGUGAUUAGAGAAGUGAAGGAAGAGACAAGGGGUGUCGAGCAUUGAGAGCAAGCCAAGCCGACCAUUGGGAGAAACCCGUAUACUUCACGUUGCAACAGAUUUUCUGGUCCAUAUUUCAAUUCCUAAGGAGCCUACAGUUUCGCCAAUCCGUCGCGGCAUCCACAUACCACACAUUUCAAAUUACUAUUGACAGCACAGGUAAUGCUUCCGGUCAUCGUUGGAAAAGGCGUUGACGUUUGGGAUCACAGGCGUGACCUAAAUUUGUCUGGUACUUAUUCUUUUAAUUUUUCUUAUCUUUCAUACAAUACAAUACAGAUUGAAAUGCAGCAGAUUGUUCCGAAUUUGGGAGUUAGGUUCUUUAGCUAUGACCAAGCAUCUAAGUAUGCUAUGCACAUCAACUGGUGUGCAUAGUAUACGACUCUUACAUUUUUUAGGUACAUGCUGGUUUAAGACCUUGGUCUAUUUGGUAUUGUAUCAAUAUUAUUCACAUGAAUUUUAAGUGCAUAUGACAUUUUUCCUGGGUUAUUUUCAUGUCUGUAUGAAAACAUUGUGGUGACUAUUUUGAUGUUUUGUUUUAGGUAAUGAAGCACUAUGCGUAUUCAAAUUUGUCACGAAGUUCUCAUAGAUUUGUCUCUGCUUUUUUUGAGUUGAUAUCAUCAUUAGCGGAAACAUUUAUGUAAGAAUGGUUUCAAUUAUAGCAUGUGUCAUCUCUCACUGGUAAGCUUCAGAGCUUCACCGGGGAUCUUGCCGAGGUUUAAUUCUAGCAGGUGGUACUUUUACUUUAUACUCACUGUUGUAUGGAAAUGUAAAAGUUGGUCUACUACCUUGUGAUAGAACUGCCAAUGAGGUUAUGCUUUUGGAGGACACAACAACUCCUCCUUCUAAGAUCAACUUUUACUCCAGAGCUAGAAGGGCCAUUGAGAAACACAAAUUCUGUCACUAUCUGAUUCUGUUCUUGGCCCUUUUUGGUUCCUGUAUGACUAUUGGAGCCGCAGUCCUCACUCCAGCACUCUCGGUCUUAUCAGCUUCAUAUGGAGUUAAGAGAUCCAUAUCAAAAUUAUCACACCUAUGUAAAGUGCUUAAUUGUUACACUUAUUUGCCCCUAAAACUAUCUGAUUACUUUCUUGUCUGUCUAUAAUCAGUAAACCCAACUAUAUCCUUGAAAUGCAUUGUGUCUAAUAUGUCUGUUUUUGAUUGGAUUUAGAAUGAAUCAUAUUGAUCCCUUGCUUAAAUUAUCAUGUACAGGUUGGUUAAGGAUAGGUUCAUGAACAUGGCAUCGAAGGUUAAUGAACAAAACGAAGUAUGGGUGAAGACGAGGAUGACGAGGAUGCUUAAGGUUUGGCUUUGGGAUGAAUGUGUGUGCAUUAACUGAUGCAAGGGCUGGUUUGAUAGAGCGAAAGCAAACCCUUCCUAUUAGUUUUGAUGUGAUCCUGUUGCUUUGGACAAUAAGUCAUAUAUUUCUUCUGAUCCAUUGGCUGUAGAAAGAAAUAUUGUUGUCCAUGGACAGAUAAUUUUGCAACUGUUAGCAGACUCUUUGCAACACCCUAUUACCUUCAAUCAACGACAACGACUUUGUUGAUGAAUCUGUCAAAGAAUUCUAUUGCACUUCAGCUUUCAUGGCUGGCACACCUGAACAUUUGGGAGUUUUGCUGGAACACCACCCAAGAAGAUGGUUGUUGAUGUUGUGUUUAUGGCUACUAUCAACAUGGUUUGGCACAUUGAUAUUGUGUGGUGUUGCAUAUCUCAACAAAAUUCCCAUUCUUCCGUAGCUACCCUUAUUUGUCUAUAGAGACAUGUCAAAAAAAUAUUGCAGGGAUGGUAGGACGAAGAGGAAUCAUCCACAAAGCGGUUCCGCGACAUGGAACAACUGUCUGGUGGUUAAAAGACUGUUGCUGCACUUGCAUUGCUAUUCUCCAUCCACAGGUAGAGUUGUUUGUACUUGCAAACUUAUUUUAUUUUUCUAUAUGAGCAUAUUUGGUUGCAGAAAAUAUUGUUUCCUUUUCUUUUAAUCACAAAAGAUUCAUAUUGUUUUUAGAUUUCUGUUUUUAAAGAUUUGUAUUUGUAAACAUGAAAACGUAACAAUGUUAAAUAGUAAUUUUUUAUAGGAUUCUUAUUUUAGUUUCAGGAAGAGUUCAUCCAAAUAGUACACCCACACAACUUGCCUGCAUCAGUUUCAUAGAAACGUGGUGCGCAUAUUCGUUGACAUGGUUCCCACUAUAUUUUUUAAGUUAUAGGCUUUCACCAUUUUUCAUACUGGAUGAAGUUGAUGCUGCAUUGGAUAACUUGAAUGUUGCGAAGGUUGCUGGCUUUAUUCGUUCAAAAUCUUGCGAAGGAGCGAGGGUUAAUCAGGACGCUGAUGGAGGAAAUGGUUUUCAGAGUAUUGUAAUAUCUCUGAAAGACAGUUUCUAUAUAUAUAAUAAUGAAACUAUUUACUGUGUUCUAUUGUGUUCUACUGCUAGCAGCAUUGUUGUUUAUGCAUUCGCAGGUCCUUGCAGAAUUUGACAACAGAAUGUCCAACCGAAUGAGGCGUGAAUCAUUGUGCCGAGGUCGCCAUUUGAAAGAUAAGUGAUCCAUACUUUUUAUCACAACUCUACUACUAUGGCAUUUUUGCACUCCUUUGUGAUAACCAUGUCGUCGAUACAUGUUCAACACGAUAUACCCUUGCAAACUUAUAAUCACAUGACAGGGAGUUCAGACUGUUUUUGAUAUGGAGAUGACAUGUUUUGGCAUAGCAGCAUUCUCAAGGUCUCGCCUUAUAGCGGAAAGGUGGAGUAUUCUAUCAAUAAUUAUUCUUGAUACAGCAUCCACAGAGGCAACUCCGAUUGAAAAUAAAUUACCUUGCUGUCUUGAGGAGCUUUAUAAAGGUACUACCAAAAAGAUGAAGAUCUCAAGGGAAAUCACAUACGCAAGCGGGUAAAUGCUCUUGCCCUUUCCUUUCACUUUUAUGUGGUUACAAAUAUACUGGAGCUUGACUGCAGUGCAGAUAUGUAUUGCUGUGGAAUGAAUAUAUGUAUUGCAGUAAAACUCUACCUGUGGAACGAAUAUCUUCUACAUAUGUAUUGCUGCAGAUAUUGUAUUCAUCAUUGAUGAGAAGCUUGACAGUGUAUUUACAAGAGAAGGCAAUGAUUUGGUUGGGACACAAAACAUAUCACUUGCAGAAGGCAACAAAUCUAAAUGGUUCUUUACCACUCUUGGAGCUAUAACCAACUGCUGCAUGGCCCAGCAACAAAUCUUCAACAGCUCUCUUUUCUACUAUCAAUGAGAAAUGAAAGAAUAGUGCAAUAGAAAGUGUUGAGAUCCUGUUAGAAACUUGAAUACAUUUACAUGGUUGUGUAGAACACAUGUUCUAUUAGACUUUGCAGUAAUCAACCUAGCCAAGAUGCACAUCUGAAGAACACAUGUAUCUUUUCUCUAUGCAUCUAUAUCCCAAAUGAUUUUAAUAUAGAUCCUGCCAAAAUAUGAGUUUUAUAGAUUGAAAAUUUUCAAUUAUGUGAAAAAUUUGUGUCUGCUGAGAUAUAUUUAUAUGUUGCCUUCUGCAAGUGAUAUGUUUGCUGAGAUAUAUUUUCAAUUUUGUUUACAGAGAUAUAUUGAUUUGCUACUAGAGCACACUAUUGUUGUGUUGCAACUUAUAAUUCAGGUGUUGCUAUCUUCAAAUUUCUCCACCUUCAUCGGUCUUUCAAGUGUCUGCAGCAAUUCAAGAGCUGCAACAGAACUCAUGCAACGGCGGACAUCCCACUGGCAGUGCUGGGGUGCUGGAUGGAUCAAUCUAAAAUUCAUUAUUGAGAUUUAUUUUUGGUUUCUAAGUGAAGCACGAGAUACUCUAAAUAGAGAUGCACUGUUUUAGAAAAACAUUUAUAUUUAUAUCAAAUAUAGUUUUAAAAUUUAAUCACUA